GUGCUCGCUUUGGCAGCACAUUUACUAAAAUUAGAACGACACUGAGAUUAGCAUGGCCCCUGCACAAGAAUGACACGCAAAUUUGUGAAGCGUUACAUAUUUUU
ensembl:snRNA U6 U6 spliceosomal RNA